AGAGAACGAUGGCGGCAGGCCUAACACACACAAGUCGAACGAAGUCUUCGGCAUUAGUGGCGGACGGGUGAGUAACACGCGGCAACGUAACUUUUUGUUCGGAACAACCCAGGGAAACUUGAGCUAAUACCGGAUGAGCCCUUAGGGGGAGAGAUUUAUCACCGAAAAAGCGGCCCGCGUUAGAUUGGCUAGUUGGUGAGGUAAAGGCUCACCAAGGCUACGAUCUAUAGCCGGUCUGAGAGGAUGAGCAGCCACCCUGGUGCUGCGACCCGGCCCAGACUCCGACGGGAGGCAGCAGUGGGGAAUCUUGCGCAAUGUGCGAAAGCCUGACGCAUCCAUGCCGCGGUAAUGAUGAAGGUCUUAGAAUUGUAAAAUUCUUUUACCAGAGACGAUAAUGACGGUACCUGGAGAAAAGGCCCUGGCUAACUUCGUGCCAUCCGCCGCCGUAAUAC
rnacentral:rRNA from 1 species